UCGGCUGCGACGUGUACCUGUUGCAUCACCUCUCCAUCGUAACACCUACUCCCUCCCUUGCAGUCGCAAACCAUUACAAUCAAGUUUGCUGUAUCCUACUCUUAACUUAUGUGAUGGUUCUAAGUUCUGAUUUUAUGGCUAAUUUUUUAUUUUUUCCAGCUAUUUUGAUUUUGAACCAUUAAGACCAUUCCAAUGAGUACUCAUCAGAAGGUAGUGUCGCUUAAUUCAUUCUCAUUAUAGUGCAUUCUGCAAGUUGGGGUGUUUGGACGUUUUGUGUUCUAAAUGGCCCUAACACAAAUCUAAAUUAAUGGUGAUGAGGUUUGAAACUGAUUUUCAUGCUUACUAUCGUUGCUGUUGGUUACUCUAUAUUCUUUUGUUGUAGGCAGUGAGGUGCACAAAAGCAGUCGUAAGAGAAGGUCGCGUCGGAUACUUCUAGCAACAUGCCAAAAAUAACAAAUUGGCAACAACAAUUUUUGCUUCCUUGAAGCCUUUUUUGGUCUUUCGGAAGGAAGAUAACCCCACGCAACCGGUUUUGUAAGAAGCUCAUCUUUCGUCAUUUGGAAAAAAAGGUUACAUAUUUUGGAAUAGCAAAGCUUUGUGUGGUUCCCAACCCUCAUAUGUCCACCCGCUCAAUUGCAA